GAGGAAUCCUCUGUGUAUCAGCAUUUCCAUGAUUUCGCU
rnacentral:sRNA from 1 species